GACGAACGCUGGCGGCGUGCUUAACACAUGCAAGUCGAACGGACAGGCCCUGCUUUUGUUGGUUUCUCGAGUGGCGAACGCGUGAGUAACACGUGAGUAACCUGCCCUUGACUUUGUGAUAACUUCAGGAAACUGGGGCUAAUACCCGAUAGGAUCUCCUGCUGCAUGGUGGGCGUUGGAAAGUUUCGGCUGUUGGGGAUGGACUCGCGGCUUAUCAGCUUCUUGGUGGGGUAGUGGCUUACCAAGGCUUUGACGGGUAGCCGGCCUGAGAGGGUGACCGGCCACAUGGGGACUGAGAGACGGCGCAGACUCCUACGGGAGGCAGCAGUGGAGAAUAUUGCACAAUGGGCGGAAGCCAGAUGCAGAAACGCCGCGUGCGGGAUGACGGCCUUCGGGUUGUAAACCGCUGUGGACGGAGACGAAGAGUGAGUGACGGUAAUGGGUAAAGAAGCACCGGCUAACUACGUG
rnacentral:rRNA from 1 species